GGCUCAGAACGAACGCUGGCGGCAGGCUUAACACAUGCAAGUUGAGCGGGAUUGAUUGAUAGCUUGCUAUUGAUCAUGAGAGCAGCGCACUGGUGAGUAACACGUGGGAACAUACCUAUUGGUGGGGGACAACAGAGGGAAACUUCUGCUAAUACCGCAUAAGCCCUGAGGGGGAAAGAUUUAUUGCCGAUAGAUUGGCCCGCGGAAGAUUAGGUAGUAGGUGGGGUAACGGCCUACCUAGCCGACGAUCUAUAGCUGGUCUAAGAGGACGAUCAGCCACAUUGGAACUGAGACACGGUCCAGACUCCUACGGGAGGCAGCAGUGAGGAAUAUUGGGCAAUGGAGGCAACUCUGACCCAGCCAAUGCCGCGUGAGUGAAGAAGGUUUUCGGAUUGUAAAGCUCUUUCGGAUGAGAAGAUGAUGACGGUAUCAUCAGAAGAAGCACCGGCUAACUUCGUGCCAGCCGCCGC
rnacentral:rRNA from 1 species